UUCUCACCAGUGCAUUAUGAGAGCACCAUAGCUAUUCCUCUGCUUUGAGUGGACUGUGGGCUGAGGGUGGCAGCCCAUCACAGGACUGAGGGGGGCAGAUCCUGUAGAGUUCUUCAUGGAGGAUACUCCUGGUGCUGAGCAUAUGCAGAGCAAGUGGAAAUAUUGGAGCACAUUUUCCUUUGCAUUACUGGAGUAAAGCACUUAUGCAGUAUGAGAGGAUUUAAACUAUUCCUCUGCCUUGAGUGGACUUGGACACAAAUAUGGCAGCCCAACUGAGGACUGAGAGGGUCAGAUCUUGUCGAGUUCUUUAUGGGUGAUACUCGUGCUGCUGAAGGGAUGCAGACAGUGGAAGUAUUGGAGCAACUUUUCUUUUGCAUCAUGG